CCUGCCUUUCAGUGGGGGACAACAGUUGGAAACGACUGCUAAUACCGCAUAAUGUUAUUUAGGGGGCAUCCCUGAAUAACCAAAGCUUUAUGUGCUGAAAGAUGGUCUCGCGUCUGAUUAGCUAGAUGGCGGGGGUUAACGGCCCACCAUGGCGACGAUCAGUAGCCGGGUCUCGAGAGGAUGAACGGCCACAUUGGGACUGAGAUACGGCCCAGACUCCUACGGGAGGCAGCAGUGGGGAAUAUUGGGCAAUGGGGGAAACCCUGACCCAGCAACGCCGCGUGAAGGAAGAAGGCCUUCGGGUUGUAAACUUCUUUUAGCAGGGACGAAUACGUGACGGUACCUGCAGAAAAAGCAACGGCUAACUACGUG
rnacentral:rRNA from 1 species